rnacentral:rRNA from 1 species
UAAGGAAUAUUGGUCAAUGGACGCAAGUCUGAACCAGCCAUGCCGCGUGGAGGAUGAAGGUCCUCUGGAUUGUAAACUUCUUUUCUCUGGGACGAAAAAAGGGCAUUCUUGCUCACUUGACAGUACCAGAGGAAUAAGCACCGGCUAACUCCGUGCCAGCAGCCGCGGUAAUACGGAGGGUGCAAGCGUUAUCCGGAUUCACUGGGUUUAAAGGGUGCGUAGGCGGGCAGGUAAGUCAGUGGUGAAAUCUCCGGGCUUAACCCGGAAACUGCCGUUGAUACUAUCUGUCUUGAAUGCCGUGGAGGUAAGCGGAAUAUGUCAUGUAGCGGUGAAAUGCUUAGAUAUGACAUAGAACACCAAUUGCGAAGGCAGCUUGCUACACGGUUAUUGACGCUGAUGCACGAAAGCGUGGGGAUCAAACAG